CCCCUGGAAGACAACCUGUUCAUCUCCCACAUCAUCACCAGCCUCGACUCUGAUACAACCCAAUUGUCUCGGUCAUCCUUGCAAGGACUGAGCCAAUUACACUAGAGGAGUUCUACUCUCAACUCCUCAGCUUUGAGA
rnacentral:snoRNA from 1 species